rnacentral:rRNA from 1 species
CCCGCACAAGCGGAGGAGCAUGUGGUUUAAUUCGAUGAUACGCGAGGAACCUUACCUGGGCUCGAACGUAAGAUGACUGUAGGUGAAAGCUUACAUCUCUUCGGAGCAUUUUACGAGGUGCUGCAUGGUUGUCGUCAGCUCGUGCCGUGAGGUGUCGGGUUAAGUCCCAUAACGAGCGCAACCCUACCUUUAGUUGCCAUCAGGCAAUGCUGGGGACUCUAAAGGAACUGCCUACGCAAGUAGUGAGGAAGGCGGGGAUGACGUCAAAUCAGCACGGCCCUUACGUCCAGGGCUACACACGUGCUACAAUGGCCGGUACAGAGGGCAGCUACCUGGUGACAGGAUGCAAAUCUCCAAAGUCGGUCUCAGUUCGGAUCGGAGUCUGCAACCCGACUCCGUGAAGUUGGAUUCGCUAGUAAUCGCGCAUCAGCCAUGGCGCGGUGAAUACGUUCCCGGGCCUU